rnacentral:ncRNA from 2 species
UAAUUAUCAAGAAGGCGCGUAGAGCAUCUGGCUCGAUGAUCCGCCUAGCAACUUGUCUAAAGACAAAGUGCUAACCAGAACCCUUCGGGGAAAGAUAAUGU